CAUGCAGACACUGCCUCCUGGAAACCACAAAAGGGACCUCAAUGAUGACAGGCUUCAGUCUCCAAGGAAUUGGGCAGAGAUAUUUUCAUUGGAAUGAAAACAAAUUAUGAGGGAUACUUAAAUACAGAGAUUUUCUUCGACUUAGAAGAGAAUGAUAGAAGCCUUUCAGAAGCAGAAAUGCAUGUGCAGAUGAUGAAACGGAAGCUCAGAGACAUGAAGCAGCUUGCUCAUGCCUGAACAACGGAGAAGAAACAAGGCCAUGAUCUGAACCCAGG